rnacentral:rRNA from 1 species
AGAGUUUGAUCCUGGCUCAGGAUGAACGCUAGCGGCAGGCCUAACACAUGCAAGUCGAGGGGCAGCGGGGGUAGCAAUACCUGCCGGCGACCGGCGCACGGGUGAGUAACGCGUAUGCAACCUGCCCCCGUCUGGGGAAUAGCCCGUCGAAAGGCGGAUUAAGGCCCCAUGGUUCCGUUGACCGGCAUCGGUUAACGGAUAAAGGUUACGGACGGGGAUGGGCAUGCGUGCCAUUAGCUAGUUGGGGGGGUAACGGCCCACCAAGGCGACGAUGGCUAGGGGAGCUGAGAGGCUGAGCCCCCACACUGGUACUGAGACACGGACCAGACUCCUACGGGAGGCAGCAGUGAGGAAUAUUGGUCAAUGGGCGGAAGCCUGAACCAGCCAUGCCGCGUGCAGGAAGACGGCCCUACGGGUUGUAAACUGCUUUUCUGCGGGAAGAACGGCCCCUACGUGUAGGGGUGUGACGGUACCGCAGGAAUAAGGAUCGGCUAACUCCGUGCCAGCAGCCGCGGUAAUACGGAGGAUCCGAGCGUUAUCCGGAUUUACUGGGUUUAAAGGGUGCGUAGGCGGCUCCCUCAGUCAGCGGUGAAAUGUAUCGGCUCAACCGAUAACCUGCCGUUGAUACUGGGGAGCUUGAGUUGGGUUGAGGCAGGCGGAAUGUGCGGUGUAGCGGU